rnacentral:rRNA from 1 species
UACGGGGGGGGCAAGCGUUGUUCGGAAUUACUGGGCGUAAAGGGCUCGUAGGUGGCCAACUAAGUCAGACGUGAAAUCCCUCGGCUUAACCGGGGAACUGCGUCUGAUACUGGAUGGCUUGAGUUUGGGAGAGGGAUGCGGAAUUCCAGGUGUAGCGGUGAAAUGCGUAGAUAUCUGGAGGAAUACCGGUGGCGAAGGCGGCAUCCUGGACCAUUACUGACGCUGAGGCGCGAAAGCUAGGGGAGCAAACGGG